CCUAUCACCCUCCACAUUUCUCCCCCACAUCCCUCCCCUCCCCGCUGGGAUCGAUCCCGGGGGAUUUCCUGGGAUGUGCCCUGGGGGGUCACAGGGGGCUGCCUGGAAACUCCCCCCUGUCCAGGUCCAGGUGACCUGGGGGGGUCCUGGACUAUCCCAGUGCCAUGGGGAUCACGGAGUGCUCCCAGUAGGAUCGGUAAAACACAUCCCGAGGUGCCGGAUUCCAGUGGUUGGCGCUGAAUUCCAGCCUCUCCUUCUCCCAGAUCCGCAAUUCCCCCCAGAGUGGGGAACGCACCUUCCUGGGAUGGUGCCAUCCACGGCCUCGUGUCCUGGGAGCUCCCCUGGCAUGGGAAAGGCUUCUCCUGUGGGAGGGUGUGAUCCCUGAGGAAGGUGUGAUCCCUGGGAAGGUGUGAUCCCUGGGGGAGGUGUGAUCCCCGAGGGAGGUGUGAUCCCUGGGGGAAGGUGUGAUCCCUGAGGAAGGUGUGAUCCCUGGGGGAAGGUGUGAUCCCUGGGAAGGUGUGAUCCCCGAGGGAAGGUGUGAUCCCUGGGGGAAGGUGUGAUCCCUGAGGAAGGUGUGAUCCCUGAGGAAGGUGUGAUCCCGGGGGAAGGUGUGAUCCCCGAGGAAGGUGUGAUCCCGGGGGAAGGUGUGAUCCCUGGGGAAGGUGUGAUCCCUGGGGGAAGGUGUGAUCCCUGAGGAAGGUGUGAUCCCUGGGGGAAGGUGUGAUCCCUGAGGAAGGUGUGAUCCCUGGGGAAGGUGUGAUCCCUGGGAAGGUGUGAUCCCUGGGGGAAGGUGUGAUCCCUGAGGAAGGUGUGAUCCCUGAGGAAGGUGUAA